UCUUCCGCAAUGGACGAAAGUCUGACGGAGCAACGCCGCGUGAGUGAUGAAGGUUUUCGGAUCGUAAAACUCUGUUGUUAGGGAAGAACAAGUACCGUUCGAAUAGGGCGGCACCUUGACGGUACCUAACCAGAAAGCCACGGCUAACUACGUGCAAGCAGCCGCGGUAAUACGUAGGUGGCAAGCGUUGUCCGGAGUUAUUGGCCGUAAACCGCGGGCAGGCGGUUUCUUAAGUAUGAUGUGAAAGCCCCCGGCUCAACCGGGGAGGGUCAUUGGAAACUGGGGGACUUGAGUGCAGAAGAGGAGAGUGGAAUUCCACGUGUAGCGGUGAAAUGCGUAGAGAUGUGGAGGAACACCAGUGGCGAAGGCGACUCUCUGGUCUGUAACUGACGCUGGGGCGCGAAAGCGUGGGGAGCGAACAG
rnacentral:rRNA from 1 species